rnacentral:rRNA from 1 species
CUCAGACGAACGCUGGCGGCGUGCUAAUACAUGCAAGUCGAACGCUUCUUUUCCCACCGGAGCUUGCUCCACCGGGAAAAGAGGAGUGGCGAACGGGUGAGUAACACGUGGGUAACCUGCCCAUCAGAAGGGGAUAACACUUGGAAACAGGUGCUAAUACCGUAUAACAAUCGAAACCGCAUGGUUUCGUUUUGAAAGGCGCUUUACGGUGCCGCUGAUGGAUGGACCCGCGGUGCAUUAGCUAGUUGGUGAGGUAACGGCUCACCAAGGCCACGAUGCAUAGCCGACCUGAGAGGGUGAUCGGCCACAUUGGGACUGAGACACGGCCCAAACUCCUACGGGAGGCAGCAGUAGGGAAUCUUCGGCAAUGGACGAAAGUCUGACCGAGCAACGCCGCGUGAGUGAAGAAGGUUUUCGGAUCGUAAAACUCUGUUGUUAGAGAAGAACAAGGGUGAGAGUAACUGUUCACCCCUUGACGGUAUCUAACCAGAAAGCCACGGCUAACUACGUGCCAGCAGCCGCGGUAAUACGUAGGUGGCAAGCGUUGUCCGGAUUUAUUGGGCGUAAAGCGAGCGCAGGCGGUUUCUUAAGUCUGAUGUGAAAGCCCCCGGCUCAACCGGGGAGGGUCAUUGGAAACUGGGAGACUUGAGUGCAGAAGAGGAGAGUGGAAUUCCAUGUGUAGCGGUGAAAUGCGUAGAUAUAUGGAGGAACACCAGUGGCGAAGGCGGCUCUCUGGUCUGUAACUGACGCUGAGGCUCGAAAGCGUGGGGAGCAAACAGGAUUAGAUACCCUGGUAGUCCACGCCGUAAACGAUGAGUGCUAAGUGUUGGAGGGUUUCCGCCCUUCAGUGCUGCAGCUAACGCAUUAAGCACUCCGCC